rnacentral:rRNA from 1 species
CCGGCGACCGGCGCACGGGUGAGUAACACGUAUGCAACCUGGCCGUGACAGAUGGAUAACCGGGAGAAAUCCCGCCUAAUACAGCAUGACGCCGGGAAGGGACAUCCCUUUCCGGCCAAAGGGGGCGACUCCGGUCACGGAUGGGCAUGCGGCGCAUUAGGUAGUUGGUGGGGCAACGGCCCACCAAGCCGACGAUGCGUAGGGGUUCUGAGAGGAAGGUCCCCCACAUUGGAACUGAGACACGAUCCAAACUCCUACGGGAGGCAGCAG